UCGACCUGAGAUUAGAUAAGAUUACCCGCCGAAUUUAAGCAUAUUAAUAAGCGGAGGAAAAGAAAACAACUGUGAUUCCCUUAGUAAUGGCGAAUGAAACGGGAACAGGGCAUCGCGGAACCGCAGGUCAUCUUGGCCUCGUGGAAUGUCGCGUUCGGGAGAGUCUUCUCGAGGACCGGACGGCCAGUCAAAGUCCAACUUGACAGUGGCCACUGCCCAUAGAGGGUGAUAGGCCCGUAAGGCGGCUGUCCGUUCUCGCUGACUUUUUCCCUAGAGUCGGGUUGCUUGGGAGUGCAGCCCAAAGUGCGAGGUAAACUCCUCGUAACCCUAAAUAUGACCCCGAGACCGAUAGCAAACAAGUACGGUGACGGAAGAUUGAAAAGAACUUUGAAGAGAGAGUUCAAUAGUACGUGAAACUGUGUGGUGGUAAACGGAGGGGUUCUCGAAGUUUCUGUGGGGAACUCAGCCUUGGUGUCGCGUGGCCCUGUAGUGUCCGAUCAGCAAUGACGGUGCUGCUUGGCCGACGUGUCUCUCGGGUGCAUUUCCCCCGCAGUUUACGGCAGGAACUGUUUGGAGCGCACCGAAGGCCCUGGGUGAAGUUGUCGGUUCUGCUGGCAGCCCCGGGUGUCCUGGCUUCGCACCAGACAGGUACGUGAGGGGACUCGUAUAGCGAGCAAUGCUCUGU
rnacentral:rRNA from 1 species